GAUCCUGGCUCAGGAUGAACGCUGGCGGCGUGCUUAACACAUGCAAGUCGAGCGAAGCACAUAAGUUUGAUUCUUCGGAUGAAGACUUUUGUGACUGAGCGGCGUCGGGUGAAGGUAACGCGUGGGUAACCUGCCGUCAUACAGGGGGAUAACAGUUAGAAAUGGCUGCUAAUACCGCAUAAGGACCACAGUACUGCAUGGUACAGUGGUAAAAACCUCCGGUGGUAUGAGAUGGACCCCG
rnacentral:rRNA from 1 species